rnacentral:rRNA from 1 species
GUGGACGCAUCACUGGUGUUCGGGUUGUCAUGCCAAUGGCACUGCCCGGUAGCUAAAUGCGGAAGAGAUAAGUGCUGAAAGCAUCUAAGCACGAAACUUGCCCCGAGAUGAGUUCUCCCUGAGACUUUAAGUCUCCUGAAGGAACGUURAAGACGAYGACGUUGAUAGGCCGGGUGUGUAAGCGCAGCGAUGCGUUGAGCUAACCGGUACUAAUGAACCGUGAGGCUUAACCUUACAACGCCGAAG